GAUCCUGGCUCAGGACGAACGCUGGCGGCGUGCCUAAUACAUGCAAGUCGAGCGGAGAAUUGGGAGCUUGCUCCCAAUUCUUAGCGGCGGACGGGUGAGUAACACGUGGGCAACCUGCCCUGCAGACUGGGAUAACUCCGGGAAACCGGAGCUAAUACCGGGUAAUACAUCGCACCGCAUGGUGCAAUGUUGAAAGUUGGCUUUCGAGCUAACACUGCAGGAUGGGCCCGCGGCGCAUUAGCUAGUUGGUAAGGUAAUGGCUUACCAAGGCAACGAUGCGUAGCCGACCUGAGAGGGUGAUCGGCCACACUGGGACUGAGACACGGCCCAGACUCCUACGGGAGGCAGCAGUAGGGAAUCUUCCGCAAUGGACGAAAGUCUGACGGAGCAACGCCGCGUGAGUGACGAAGGCCUUCGGGUCGUAAAGCUCUGUUGUUAGGGAAGAACAAGUACCGUUCGAAUAGGGCGGUACCUUGACGGUACCU
rnacentral:rRNA from 2 species